rnacentral:rRNA from 1 species
AGUGAACGCUGGCGGUAGGCCUAACACAUGCAAGUCGAACGGCAGCACAGUAAGAGCUUGCUCUUACGGGUGGCGAGUGGCGGACGGGUGAGGAAUACAUCGGAAUCUACUUUUUCGUGGGGGAUAACGUAGGGAAACUUACGCUAAUACCGCAUACGACCUACGGGUGAAAGCAGGGGAUCUUCGGACCUUGCGCGAUUGAAUGAGCCGAUGUCGGAUUAGCUGGUUGGCGGGGUAAAGGCCCACCAAGGCGACGAUCCGUAGCUGGUCUGAGAGGAUGAUCAGCCACACUGGAACUGAGACACGGUCCAGACUCCUACGGGAGGCAGCAGUGGGGAAUAUUGGACAAUGGGCGCAAGCCUGACCCAGCCAUACCGCGUGGGUGAAGAAGGCCUUCGGGUUGUAAAGCCCUUUUGUUGGGAAAGAAAAGCAGCAGGUUAAUACCCCGCUGUUCUGACGGUACCCAAAGAAUAAGCACCGGCUAACUUCGUG